rnacentral:misc_RNA from 1 species
AGCAGCCGCGGUAAUUCCAGCUCCAAUAGCGUAUAUUAAAGUUGUUGCAGUUAAAAAGCUCGUAGUUGAAUUUCGGGAUCAAGGAAUCGGUCAUGCCUCGGUAUGUACUGGUUUUAUUGGUUCUCACCUUCUAAAGAACCAUGAUGUCAUUCAUUUGAUGUUAUGGGGAAUUAGGACUGUUACCUUGAAAAAAUUAGAGUGUUUAAAGCAGGCUUACGCUUGAAUACAUUAGCAUGGAUAAUGAAAUAGGACAUCAGAUUCUAUUUUGUUGGUUUCUAGGAUCGAUGUAAUGAUUAAUAGGGAUAGUUGGGGGCAUUAGUAUUCAAUUGUCAGAGGUGAAAUUCUUGGAUUUAUUGAAGACUAACUACUGCGAAAGCAUUUGCCAGGAUGUUUUCAUUAUCAGAACGAAGUUAGGGGAAUCGAAGACGAUCAGAUACCGUCGUAGUCUUAACCAUAGACUAUGCCGACUAGGGAUCGGAUCGAUGUUUAUUUUUAGUGUACGUCUACG